rnacentral:tRNA from 1 species
GAGGGUAUAGCUCAGUGGUAGAGUGAGUGCCUAACAUGCACAAGGGUUCAAUCCCCAGUACCUCCA